rnacentral:rRNA from 1 species
AUUGAACGCUGGCGGCAGGCCUAACACAUGCAAGUCGAGCGAGAGGCGGACGGGUGAGUAAUGUAUGGGAAACUUAGUGUGGGAGGGGGAUAACUAAUGGAAACGGUAGCUAAUAACGCCUACCAUCGGCUGUGCCGAGUUGGGAUUAGCUAGUGGGUGGGGUAAAGGCUCACCUAGGCGACGAUCCCUAGCUGGUCUGAGAGGAGGAACAGCCACACUGGAACUGAGACACGGUCCAGACUCCUACGGGAGGCAGCAGUGGGGAAUAUUGGACAAUGGGCGCAAGCCUGAUGCAGCCAUGCCGCGUGUAUGAAGAAGGCCUUCGGGUUGUAAAGUACUUUCAGCGGGGAGGCGUUACCCGCAGAAGAAGCACCGGCUAACUCCGUGCCAGCCGCCGCGGUAAUUC